AUUGAACGCUGGCGGCAGGCCUAACACAUGCAAGUCGGGCGAGCGGCGGACGGGUGAGUAAUGUAUGGGGACUGCCUGAUGGAGGGGGAUAACUACUGGAAACGGUGGCUAAUACCGCAUAAUACCGGAUAACCCAUAUGGGAUUAGGUAGUUGGUGAGGUAAAGGCUCACCAAGCAGAAGGUCUCUAGCUGGUCUGAGAGGAUGAACAGCCAAACUUGGAUUUGGACAGGGCCCAGACUCCUACGGAGGCAGCAGUGGGGAAUAUUGCGCAAUGGGGGCAACCCUGACGCAGCCAUGCCGCGUGAAUGAAGAAGGCCUUCGGGUUGUAAAGUUCUUUCGGUAGCGAGGCGUUAACUACAGAAGAAGCACCGGCUAACUCCGUGCCAGCAGCCGCGGUAAUAC
rnacentral:rRNA from 1 species